GACUUAAUCUCAAACUGUACAGCAGCAGUGGUAUCAGAUAGUCGGAUACAAGAUGGAGAGGUAUAAAUGGAAGGAGUGAAGUACUCCUUUAACAGCUUGGGUUGUUCUUCAGUCAUCUUGAUAGGUGAAGCAGAUCCUAGGGUUUUAUAAGUGCGGAUUUUAGCUCGAAGGGUCCUAAUAGAACGCUCUAUUUCAGAAUCAAAAGGUACUAAUUCAGGAGAUCUGGAACGACACCCUAGCAUACACUAAUGCUUUUCUAAUCAGUCAAGUGCGGUCAAGCAUGCAUUAAAAGAAAAAGACUUCAAAUCCUUAUGUUUGCCCUAAUAUCACUAGACAGCUCCUAACUGGUUUGAAGAGGGCACCUAAGCCUCCAAUCCGGUCUAAUGAACUGAGUUGACCAGGUAAGCUCCCAGGUAAGUGGGGGGGUCACAAUGCGUUGCAAAAGUCCCACUUAAAAACCACUUGCCUCGAACAGAUGAACUGUCUCCCUUGGGACAAAGCUUGCCUAGACAUCAACUGAGCCACAGAGCGAAAUUGGUGCAACUUUCGGUGAUCUUCAUC
rnacentral:lncRNA from 1 species